rnacentral:tRNA from 1 species
GCCCGGGUGGCGAAAUGGCAGACGCAUCUGACUUAAAAUCAGAUUUCCGCAAGGAAGUGCCGGUUCGAGUCCGGUCCCGGGCA